rnacentral:rRNA from 1 species
AGCGCAGACGGAUGGACAAGUCUGAUGUGAAAGGCUGGGGGCUCAACCCCGGGACUGCAUUGGAAACUGCCCGUCUUGAGUGCCGGAGAGGUAAGCGGAAUUCCUAGUGUAGCGGUGAAAUGCGUAGAUAUUAGGAGGAACACCAGUGGCGAAGGCGGCUUACUGGACGGUAACUGACGUUGAGGCUCGAAAGCGUGGGGAGCAAAC